rnacentral:sRNA from 1 species
CGGGGAGGAGUUUGCGAUGGGAGGCGCCUGCAGGGGCUCCCCCAGUUCUGCGCUGUGAGCAGGGGCACAAAGAGCUCUCUG